rnacentral:rRNA from 1 species
GACGAACGCUGGCGGCGUGCCUAAUACAUGCAAGUCGAACGCAGUGGGGACGGGUGAGUAACACGUGGGUAACCUCCCAUCAGAGGGGAUAACACUUGGAAACAGGUGCUAAACCGAUACUGAUGGAUGGACCCGCGGUGUAUUAGCUAGUUGGUGAGGUAACGGCUCACCAAGGCCACGAUGCAUAGCCGGCCUGAGAGGGUGACCGGCCACACUGGGACUGAGACACGGCCCAGACUCCUACGGGAGGCAGCAGUGGGGAAUAUUCGACAAUGGACGAAAGCCUGACCGAGCAACGCCGCGUGAGUGAAGAAGGUUUUCGGAUUGUAAAGCACUGUUAGUGGGGAGGCGGUAUCUAACCAAAAAGCAACGGCUAACUCCGUGCCAGCAGCCGCGGUAAUAC